rnacentral:lncRNA from 12 species
GCAGCAGAAGUGCUUCUUUUCCUGUUUUGUCCUGCCUGGCACAGAGGUGCACCCAGGGAUGACCCUGCUGGCACUGCCCACCCUGGAUCUCCCCACGGCACAGGUACAGCCCUGGGGGAAGGUGCAGGGCACAGCACAGCCCACGCUGUGCCUGCUCCAGGGAGGAAUGGGAACCACAGAGCCACCCCAGCUCCUGCCUGCACUCUGUCCUUGCCUGCCUCAGAUAAAGGCUUGUGCCAGCUGAGGGGUCUGUGCCCAGCAGGGCUGGCAGGGACACGGCACAGGGACACGCACAGGGACAGGGGGACACACGGCACAGGGACAGACAGGGCUGGCAGUGGCACUGCACAGGGACACGGCACAGGGGGACACACAGCACAGGGACACCCAGGGCUGGCAGUGGCACUGCACAGGGACACAGCAGCCCCAGAGAGCAGCGUGCAGCCCCUGGCAAGCUGCAGCAUCCUCCUCCUGCUCCUGCUCCCUCUCCCCACAGCCCGGCACCUCCCGUUUCCCUGGGAACACAGACUUGCCCACUUGUAAUUCACAGCCUGAGCCCCUCACAUCUGCUGCCACUUUUGUCUGAGCAGCACCCAGGCAGUAAAUCCCAUUUACUGUCCCUGCUCCCUGGGGUCUGGGCUAUGUGGCCCUGCACUGAUCAUGCUGAUCAAUGGGAAGGAGAAUUUACGGGACUGAAAGUGGAGCAGGACUCCAGAAAUGCUCAUUAAAAAAGACUUCGAGGAGGCUGGGGCUGGUUUUGUUCUUUGGACUUGGGUUUGUUUGUUUGUUUGUUUUGGGGUUUUUGGUGUUACAUUAAAGAAGCCAAAUUUUAAAGAGGUCCAAACCCCCAUCAUUCCAAGAUCCCUGGCAAUGCCCUGCUUGCUGCC